rnacentral:rRNA from 1 species
UACGGAGGAUGCGAGCGUUAUCCGGAUUUAUUGGGUUUAAAGGGUGCGCAGGCGGAAGAUCAAGUCAGCGGUAAAAUUGAGAGGCUCAACCUCUUCGUGCCGUUGAAACUGGUUUUCUUGAGUGAGCGAGAAGUAUGCGGAAUGCGUGGUGUAGCGGUGAAAUGCAUAGAUAUCACGCAGAACUCCGAUUGCGAAGGCAGCAUACCGGCGCUCAACUGACGCUCAUGCACGAAAGUGUGGGUAUCGAACAGG